CCUACGGGAGGCAGCAGUGAGGAAUAUUGGUCAAUGGACGAGAGUCUGAACCAGCCAAGUAGCGUGAAGGAUGACUGCCCUAUGGGUUGUAAACUUCUUUUAUAUGGGAAUAAAAUGUUCCACGUGUGGGAUUUUGUAUGUACCAUAUGAAUAAGGAUCGGCUAACUCCGUGCCAGCAGCCGCGGUAAUACGGAGGAUCCGAGCGUUAUCCGGAUUUAUUGGGUUUAAAGGGAGCGUAGGUGGAUUUUUAAGUCAGUUGUGAAAGUUUGCGGGAGAACCGUAAAAUUGCAGUUGAAACUGGAGGUAGGGAGAAUAGGAGAGGGAGGGGAAUGGGGUGGUG
rnacentral:rRNA from 1 species